UGAUCCCCUGAAAGAAAUAAGCAGUGCUGCUGUGUGAUGCAGAGCUAUGAGCACAGGGGGGAACUCGCCCACCUUACAUAUUCCAUGGGAAAGCUUUAGAGUCAGCAGGUCUUUAACCUUUGUGUACCUGAAAAAUAGUGGCCAAAAGCUACCUGACCUAAGCCCCUCCAGCAACUCCUAAUCCCUUUCCCGACUGAAAGUGGUAGCAGCACAAGCAGCCCGAGGUCCCGGGCCACAUGGGAUGUGUGUGCAAGAAAACGCACAGGAACCGACAGGAGUUGCAGUGCCCAUGUGAUGUAGGGACAUCACUAGAGCCAUGACAAGGCCAAUUUUUUUAAGCUAGAUAGGGAUUCAGAUAUAGCUAAUUUGUGGGCAUCACAGAGCUGCUUGGCAAACCCUCCCCGGGGUUCCCAUGGGGGUAGGCUUGGUAGACGCCUGCAUUUCUGAAGAAGCCUAUGCUCCUUGCAGAAGCUGCUUAGGGCCUGCACUCUCCAGCUCAAGCUAAAGGAUUAAAACAAAGCUUUCUGAACAACUGUGUUAUUGGAGACCAAUCACCUACUAAAGUUGAGUAUUCCCAAGGUUAGAUUCACAAUUGUGCAGCAUAACAGGCCCAUCCAGACACGUCUGAUUUUUUUUUUUCCCUUCCUAUGGAGCAGUUGACUUUAAUAUAGCUUUGGCAACGAAGGCUCUGUGUAACCUCCAUGACAUGGUACAAAGCCUGGUUGAGUAUCUGGGCAUGCCUCCAUUUACAUAAAUGCAAAUGCCUGGCUAUUAGUCACACUCACAUGCAUUUUGUUAGUUCCAGCUCGGUCACAGAGAGCUGGGCAAGGAGACAUGCAGAUCUAGAGCCAGACGAGCUCCUCUCACCCUCUGUGUGACAGGGAGACAGAACAGUCAAAGGAGGAGGGUAACUGGGGGGGCAAGGCGCACUUGCAGCCGGUGUGAAUGCAGGGGCCAGUGGAGGGGCUGCUUGAGCCUUGUAGCCAUGCACGUCACUGUAAUUCCAGAGCAGCAACUGGCCAUGCACAACAUUCCUGCUCUGGCUUAAAUUUAAUUACUCAAAUCUUUAGAGUGCCUGUUCUCAGCACCUGCUCUGUGACAAGGCAUGGAUCUUCCUGCCUCCGUUCAGCCCUCUGCUUGAUGUGAUGGCCUGUGAAUCAUUCUUGCUGUUUUUCUCUGAAAACUAAGCAAUUUAUCUUACAGGUAUUUACUUCGGAUGAUUACUCCAACCAGGCUAAUGUCAAAUCAAGACACCUUUCUGCUUGAACAAUUUGGUACUUGCCGGUGGUCUACCUCCACAGGUUACUUAAUUAUUCCCUCCAGCAAUUUUCAAAUCCUUCAGCAUAAUAAUGCAUACUAAAUGGGACCAUGUUUCCCUGUUCUGAGAGCUGUAAAGUUAUCCCAACAUACGCACAGAGUUGUGAGCAAAGUCCUCAGUUUAUCCAAUGCAUCUGUUUGUCAUGUAAGGAGAUCUACAUGCUGUUAACUAAUGCCACAUUUCUGGACAACAUAGCCAAACUAUAAACUACAGAAUCCUGUUUCAUUCAGGGCCUAGGUAGACUGUUAUGCUGCUAUGUUAACCCAGUUGAAACAGGUACGUAGAGGGGGAAAUGAGGACUCAGGAGUCCAUAGGGACUGUUUGGCUUUAAAACUCUAUUGCUACUCAUGAACCUUUUACAGGUCACCAGUAUCUGCCUGCACCCAUCAGCUCACCCACCCACAGCCUUCAGCUUUCAGCCUUGCGUGACUCCUAUUGUGAAACUAACUCUGCCACGAGCAUGAGGAAACAAACACAGGCAUCACCUCAUAUAGUAGUUUUCCACUCAUUGUAAUCCAAUAAAGUUUAGGAAGUUUACAGUGAUUAACAUCAGCCUGAGAAUGCGGUUGGACCCUGCACUAAAUGCUUAAAACUAUGGGCAGCACAGCAUCCUCCGAUUUGUAAGAAGACAGGAUUCCUCAAGGUUGGCAACUGUUUACUCCACAGUUUUCUGAAACAGCUAUGAACUUAUUUUAAAAGCCUAAUACACUUUAUCCUAGCCUUAAAUACUAGUUGUGCUUUAUAAGGCUGCCACGAUUUGCUAUGUAUUUACCAGUACUUGUGCAUUUACUGGACCACCCACCUUGCUGACAAGCUAAACUGUGUGACAUUCUUCACUGUUCUGCCAGUGGAGACCACCACUUCCAAAGGUGAGAAUACACUACCAGGAUUAUGAUUAACAUUUUAUUAAUUUUAAGAGUUAGUAAAGAAGAGGAUAAGCAGAUAUCUUGGAAAGAAACUUAAAAAGGAACUUGGUUUUGGCAAGAUCAAUGAAAUAUUAGUGUCAAAUAUCAAGAGAGAUGGAAGUCACAUGUCAGGUUUGGGAAUAAAAGUGUUACUGAUUCUUCCUU